GGGCCCGCACAAGCGGUGGAGUAUGUGGUUUAAUUCGAUGCAACGCGAAGAACCUUACCAGGGUUUGACAUCCUGCGAAUCUCUUGGAAACUUGAGAGUGCCUUCGGGAGCGCAGUGACAGGUGGUGCAUGGCUGUCGUCAGCUCGUGUCGUGAGAUGUUGGGUUAAGUCCCGCAACGAGCGCAACCCACGUCUUUAGUUGCCAGCAAUUCGGUUGGGGACUCUAGGGAGACUGCCGGUGUUAAACCGGAGGAAGGUGGGGACGACGUCAGGUCAUCAUGGCCUUUAUGACCAGGGCUGCACACGUCCUACAAUGGUGCGUACAAAGGGGAAGCAAAGCAGUGAUGUGGAGCAAA
rnacentral:rRNA from 1 species